rnacentral:rRNA from 1 species
UACGGGAGGCAGCAGUGGGGAAUAUUGCACAAUGGGCGAAAGCCUGAUGCAGCUAUGCCGCGUGUAUGAAGAAGGCCUUCGGGUUGUAAAGUACUUUCAGCGGGGAGGAAGGCGAUGCGGUUAAUAACCGCGUCGAUUGACGUUACCCGCAGAAGAAGCACCGGCUAACUCCGUGCUAGCAGCCGCGGUAAUACGGAGGGUGCAAGCGUUAAUCGGAAUUACUGGGCGUAAAGCGCACGCAGGCGGUCUGUUAAGUCAGAUGUGAAAUCCCCGGGCUUAACCUGGGAACUGCAUUUUGAAACUGGCAGGCUUGAGUCUUGUAGAGGGGGUAGAAUUCCAGGUGUAGCGGUGAAAUGCGUAGAGAUCUGGAGGAAUACCGGUGGCGAAGGCGGCCCCUGGGACAAAGCUGACGCUCAGGUGCGAAAGCGUGGGGAGCAAACAGGAUUAGAUACC